UUAGGACGUCUAUAUAAAUCAACACUUUAGCCAAUAAUAAACAGGUCUGUAUAACUGUAGUUUGUAGAUCUUGUGUCUCAGACUAUGCAGAUAAUGUAAAUCAGUCUAUGAAAAAGAUGAACAACCACAUGGUCAAACACAAUCAUUCUUACAUGAAUGGGAACAGACAGGUCAGGGAAAAGUAUGAAGCAAACCAUCUGCACCACUGCAAACAAAUCCUUUAGACCAAUGGACAACACCAGUGAUUUGGAUCCAAAACAGUGAAGUCUACUUUCAUUUGGCUGCAGACUUAUAUGAGGCUCAGUUGAUAGAGAUGUUGUCCAAGUGUCCACCAACUAAUCUGAAAGCCGGUUUGAUCCUUGCUGCCAGCAUUGCAUUGUGAACCCACCCCGUCGAAUGUAUACAUAAGGGUGUUAUGGAUGGUGUUGGGUUGAAAAUGCUACAGGCACAAAAUAGCAGCCAUGUUUCCAGUACUCUAUAUUGGAGAACCUCACUUAUGUAAUGCAAUUUGGCAAAUGUCCUGGAUAUAUUGAUUUUGUAGCAUCAUUUUAAGAUCAGUGCAUUCCCAGCAUUUUACAGCAGCAAAUGUUUGAGCACACCACGAGAGGGAGACAGUUUUUUACCAAUAAACCUCCUAUCAAUAUACACUCCCACAGUUAUGAAGAAACACCUCCCUGUGUGACUUCAGUGCAUUCGCUCCAGAGACAAAUGCACAACACAGUCUUAAGUAUGAUACUUAUAGUUCUGAUGCUGGUUCCUGGCAUAAAAGGAGCCUCCCUGCAAGACCUCAUUUCCCAGACCCCUCGAGACCUGAUUAGGUUCAGCAAUGAAUCUAUCAAGGGGCGAGCUGACCUGUUCUCACACUAUACAAGGCUACGAUCUGACGCUUUGGUAUAAAAAGGAGAAAAAUGGUGCCUUUAAACUGCUCGGUUACAUGAAUCUUAACUUUAAAAAUGUUGAAGACGACGUCAAAGAUAAGAUAACUUUGGGAGGGGAUGGACGCUCAAAAUCAAGCCUCUCUGUGUCAAAUCCCACACAAGAAGACAGCGCUGUGUACUACUGCGCUGCCAGUAUGCACAGUGAUGUAGCGAACCCUCGUCCUGUAUCAAAAACUAAUUUCUAGUUAGGAAAUGUGCCUUUGUGAACACCUGCGGAAAACUAAACCACAGCGGUUUUAUCAGUAAGACAUUUUGUAAUAGAGAAAGACAUAUGAGGUCACAUGAUUUAGCAUAGAUCAGGAAAAAAACAAAAGAAGAGCAUAACAAUCUCCAAAACUGACAAAUUUGGGAUGACACAGAAAUACAAUGCUAUUACGGCUUUAUAUAUAUAUUUUUUGAUUUGAAUAUUUUAUUUCGAGCUAAAGAAG
rnacentral:lncRNA from 1 species